rnacentral:rRNA from 1 species
GGGUUGUGAGGUUAAGCGACUAAGCGUACACGGUGGAUGCCCUGGCAGUCAGAGGCGAUGAAGGACGUGCUAAUCUGCGAUAAGCGUCGGUAAGGUGAUAUGAACCGUUAUAACCGGCGAUUUCCGAAUGGGGAAACCCAGUGUGUUUCGACACACUAUCAUUAACUGAAUCCAUAGGUUAAUGAGGCGAACCGGGGGAACUGAAACAUCUAAGUACCCCGAGGAAAAGAAAUCAACCGAGAUUCCCCCAGUAGCGGCGAGCGAACGGGGAGCAGCCCAGAGCCUGAAUCAGUGUGUGUGUUAGUGGAAGCGUCUGGAAAGGCGUGCGAUACAGGGUGACAGCCCCGUACACAAAAAUGCACAUGCUGUGAGCUCGAUGAGUAGGGCGGGACACGUGGUAUCCUGUCUGAAUAUGGGGGGACCAUCCUCCAAGGCUAAAUACUCCUGACUGACCGAUAGUGAACCAGUACCGUGAGGGAAAGGCGAAAAGAACCCCGGCGAGGGGAGUGAAAAAGAACCUGAAACCGUGUACGUACAAGCAGUGGGAGCACGCUUAGGCGUGUGACUGCGUACCUUUUGUAUAAUGGGUCAGCGACUUAUAUUCUGUAGCAAGGUUAACCGAAUAGGGGAGCCGAAGGGAAACCGAGUCUUAACUGGGCGUUAAGUUGCAGGGUAUAGACCCGAAACCCGGUGAUCUAGCCAUGGGCAGGUUGAAGGUUGGGUAACACUAACUGGAGGACCGAACCGACUAAUGUUGAAAAAUUAGCGGAUGACUUGUGGCUGGGGGUGAAAGGCCAAUCAAACCGGGAGAUAGCUGGUUCUCCCCGAAAGCUAUUUAGGUAGCGCCUCGUGAAUUCAUCUCCGGGGGUAGAGCACUGUUUCGGCAAGGGGGUCAUCCCGACUUACCAACCCGAUGCAAACUGCGAAUACCGGAGAAUGUUAUCACGGGAGACACACGGCGGGUGCUAACGUCCGUCGUGAAGAGGGAAACAACCCAGACCGCCAGCUAAGGUCCCAAAGUCAUGGUUAAGUGGGAAACGAUGUGGGAAGGCCCAGACAGCCAGGAUGUUGGCUUAGAAGCAGCCAUCAUUUAAAGAAAGCGUAAUAGCUCACUGGUCGAGUCGGCCUGCGCGGAAGAUGUAACGGGGCUAAACCAUGCACCGAAGCUGCGGCAGCGACGCUGAUGCGUUGUUGGGUAGGGGAGCGUUCUGUAAGCCUGCGAAGGUGUGCUGUGAGGCAUGCUGGAGGUAUCAGAAGUGCGAAUGCUGACAUAAGUAACGAUAAAGCGGGUGAAAAGCCCGCUCGCCGGAAGACCAAGGGUUCCUGUCCAACGUUAAUCGGGGCAGGGUGAGUCGACCCCUAAGGCGAGGCCGAAAGGCGUAGUCGAUGGGAAACAGGUUAAUAUUCCUGUGCUUGGUGUUACUGCGAAGGGGGGACGGAGAAGGCUAUGUUGGCCGGGCGACGGUUGUCCCGGUUUAAGCGUGUAGGCUGGUUUUCCAGGCAAAUCCGGAAAAUCAAGGCUGAGGCGUGAUGACGAGGCACUACGGUGCUGAAGCAACAAAUGCCCUGCUUCCAGGAAAAGCCUCUAAGCAUCAGGUAACAUCAAAUCGUACCCCAAACCGACACAGGUGGUCAGGUAGAGAAUACCAAGGCGCUUGAGAGAACUCGGGUGAAGGAACUAGGCAAAAUGGUGCCGUAACUUCGGGAGAAGGCACGCUGAUAUGUAGGUGAAGUCCCUCGCGGAUGGAGCUGAAAUCAGUCGAAGAUACCAGCUGGCUGCAACUGUUUAUUAAAAACACAGCACUGUGCAAACACGAAAGUGGACGUAUACGGUGUGACGCCUGCCCGGUGCCGGAAGGUUAAUUGAUGGGGUCAGCGCAAGCGAAGCUCUUGAUCGAAGCCCCGGUAAACGGCGGCCGUAACUAUAACGGUCCUAAGGUAGCGAAAUUCCUUGUCGGGUAAGUUCCGACCUGCACGAAUGGCGUAAUGAUGGCCAGGCUGUCUCCACCCGAGACUCAGUGAAAUUGAACUCGCUGUGAAGAUGCAGUGUACCCGCGGCAAGACGGAAAGACCCCGUGAACCUUUACUAUAGCUUGACACUGAACAUUGAGCCUUGAUGUGUAGGAUAGGUGGGAGGCUUUGAAGUGUGGACGCCAGUCUGCAUGGAGCCGACCUUGAAAUACCACCCUUUAAUGUUUGAUGUUCUAAC